AUUUUGGACAAUGGUCGCAAGCCUGAUCCAGCCAUGCCGUGUGAGUGAAGAUGGCCUUCGCGUUGUAAAGCUCUUUCGGUUGGAAAGAAAUCGCGCCGGAUUAUACCCCGCGCGGAUGCCGGUACCCUCAUAAGUAGCACCGGCUAACUACGUGCCAUCAGCCGCGGUAAUACGUAGUGUGCGAGCGUUAAUCGGAAGUACUGGGCGUAAAGCGUGCGCAGGCGGUUGAUUAAGACAGGCGUGAAAUCCCCGGGCUUAACCUGGGAACUGCGCUUGUGACUGGUCAGCUAGAGUACGGCAGAGGGGGGUGGAAUUCCACGUGUAGCAGUGAAAUGCGUAGAGAUGUGGAGGAACACCGAUGGCGAAGGCAGCCCCCUGGGCCGAUACUGACGCUCAUGCACGAAAGCGUGGGUAGCAAACAGG
rnacentral:rRNA from 1 species